rnacentral:tRNA from 1 species
GCUGGUGUAGCUCAGUCGGUAGAGCAAUGCUCUUGUAAAGCAUAGGUCGGGGGUUCGAAUCCGUCCACCAGCUCCA